UUCUUCCCUUUACUCAGCAAACACGCUGAAACAACAUCCAUGGUGAAAGGGAAGAAGACAUAAACUUAACACCACCUUCAAACCACCACAACUUCCUACUCUGGGCUCCGAUCGCUGCACCGUUUGUGGCCACGUGACCACCCUGUCGAGCUCUACGAUUCUAUCGGAACAAUUUCAUAGAUAAGUCACUCUAUUACUCUCAGCUUCUCCUUCUCCCAAUUUUUCGAAAUUAUGUAAGUGGUGUUGAAUUUUUACCACUUUGAUGUAUUAGGAUCCGAUUAGCUUGAGAAAAACAUUCACUCUUGCUUAUACGACGCUUGGGUAAGAUGCAACUCGAGAGGCUCCUUGCUAGGCGUCUGGACUUCUGAAGCGGAGUAGUCUCUGGGUUUUAUUUUGAUGUACAGUUUUGAAUAUAUAUGUACUUAGUUUCCUCUUCAAGAAACUUGUUUAUUUUGUCCCUCUUAGAGGUUUGAGGAGAGAUGGAGGUUUUACUCUAUAUUUUGGGUAUUUUGGGACAUGUAUAUAUGUAUGUAAAUACUCUCCGGCCAACCUCAGCUCCGCAAGCUGAGCUAGGAGCUUGUUAUAUCGUUCUCUUGACUCUCUAUUCCUGUUUCCUAUUUAUUUAUGCUUUUAAACUUUA